rnacentral:tRNA from 1 species
GGGGCUGUAGCUCAGUGGCAGAGCGCUUGCCUAGCAUGUGUGAGGCACUGGGUUCGAUCCCCAGCACCA